rnacentral:misc_RNA from 1 species
GUGAAUCAUCAAAUUUUUGAACGCAAAUUGCGCUUCCUAGCAUCCCGGGAAGUAUGCCUGUUUUGGGGUCAUUAUUAACAAAAAAAUCGGUUUGGUUGCAAAUUGUGUCGUUUCCGGAGUUUGGUCUUUCUUAACUUUUUUGGUUAAGGGGCUUAAAAUUUACCUUUUUUGCGCAUUUUUAGUCUUACAUAAAUUUUUUUUUUUUUAUUCUUCUAUUCUUAAUGCCAAAAUCUUAUUAGAUGCGAUCACAUCGUGUUGUUUCGUUUCCAUAAAAUUUUCAUGAUUUGACCUCAAAUC